AUUGAACGCUGGCGGCAGGCCUAACACAUGCAAGUCGAACGAGUGGCGGACGGGUGAGUAAUGUCUGGGAAACUGCCUGAUGGAGGGGGAUAACUACUGGAAACGGUAGCUAAUACCGCAUACCAUCGGAUGUGCCCAGAUGGGAUUAGCUAGUAGGUGGGGUAACGGCUCACCUAGGCGACGAUCCCUAGCUGGUCUGAGAGGCUGACAAGCCACACUGGAACUGAGACACGGUCCAGAGUCCUACGGGAGGCAGCAGUGGGGAAUAUUGGCCAAUGGGCGCAAGCCUGAUGCAGCCAUGCGGGGUGUAUGAAGAAGGCCUUCGGGUUGUAAAGUACUUUCAGCGGGGAGGCGUUACCCGCAGAAGAAGCACCGGCUAACUCCGUGCCAGCAGCCGCGGUAAUAC
rnacentral:rRNA from 1 species